rnacentral:lncRNA from 1 species
AAAUCGCUUGGCGUUUUUUCUUAAAAAUCGCGAAAGUAAACUUCGAAAUAGGAGAACUGGCCAUAGGCUCGCCUCUGCCGGCCUUCCGACGUCUCCCUCCAUCCUCCGCUCGCUCUUUCUUUCCUUCUACUUCUCCGGUUCUGGCAACGUAUUUCAUUUUCGUUGUUGAAACCGUACCGGUGAGCUGCUGUUACAGCUCGGAAUGGCCGGAACCGUCCGGUUCGGAAUGGUUCCGCCGACCCUGCAGCUAAUUGUUGUGAGCUAUGAAUUUUUACUUGCUCAAACUCAUCUUCGGUCAAACUUAUGGUGUCUCAUGAUAUUAGUAUGAGGAACUAGCUACGUUAAAACCUUUGUGAUUUAUAUUAUUA